CCAUCUUCUUCAUUACUUUAAUCUCACCUUCAAAGAAGUGAAAUUUGCUCGAACUCCAGAAACCUCAAAUCCAACUUCAACCGCCAUUGUUAUACAGAGAAACAAGAGCACAGAUUAAUGGAGGAGCCUCAAAUUGAGAAUGAGAAUGGGAAAUUGACCGAAGUUGUGGAUACCCAGUUAAUUAAUCCCAGCAAUGGAAAAGCAGCAGCAGCAGUUAGAGGAGUUGAAGAAGAAGAAGGAGAGGAAGUGGCGGUGGGCCCAGCUCCUCCUCCUCAACGUCGCCCUAAACGUCCUCUUCAGUUUGAGCAUGCUUACCUCGAUUCUCUUCCCUGCGCCAAUAUGUAUGAGAAGAGUUAUAUGCAUCGAGAUGUGGUCACCCAUGUCGCGGUUUCUUGUGCUGAUUUCUUCAUAACCGGAAGUUACGAUGGCCAUCUGAAGUUUUGGAAGAAGAAACCAAUCGGCAUUGAGUUUGCAAAGCAUUUUAGAUCUCAUCUGGGGCCCAUCGAAGGAUUAGCUGUUAGUUUUGAUGGCUUGCUUUGUUGUACAAUUUCCAGUGAUAAUUCUGUGAAAGUGUAUGAUGUGGUGAACUAUGACAUGAUGGUCAUGAUUCGUUUACCAUAUAUCCCGGGUGCUGUUGAGUGGGUUUACAAACAAGGAGAUAUUAAAGCAAAGCUGGCCAUUAGUGAUCGGGACUCUCCAUUUGUGCAUAUAUAUGAUGUGCGAGCUGGAAAUAAUGAACCGAUCAUUUCCAAAAAGGUACACGCUGGACCGGUGAAAGUCAUGAAAUACAACCCUGUAUUUGAUGCCGUUAUUUCUGCAGAUACAAGGGGAAUAUUUGAGUACUGGGACCCUGUGACACUUGAUUUUUCUGAGAAUGGAAUCACUUUCAAGUUGAAAACUGAUACAAAUCUUUUGGAAAUGGUGAAGUGUAAAACAACAGUUUCUGCAAUAGAGGCGAGUCCUGAUGGUAAGCAAUUUUCUGUUACCUCACCUGAUCGCAGGAUACGUGUAUUUUGGUAUAGGACUGGUAAAUUGAGGCGAGUUUAUGAUGAAUCACUCGAGGUGGCUCAAGAUCUACAAAGAAGUGAUAAUCCUAUGUAUCGUCUGGAGGCCAUUGAUUUUGGAAGAAGAAUGGCUGUUGAAAAGCAAAUUGAGCAAACAGAGGCUGUUCCUCAACCAAAUGCAGUAUUUGAUGAAAGCUCAAACUUUCUUAUCUAUGCUACACUCCUUGGUAUUAAAGUGGUAAAUUUGCACACCAAUACUGUGUCGCGAAUUCUUGGUAAGGUGGAAAGUAAUGACAGGUUCUUGAGGAUUGCCCUGUAUCAAGGUGACCGAAGUAAUAAAAGAGCAAGAAAGAUACCUACGGCUGCUGUUAAUGUUAAUGAAAGCAAAGACCCCUUGAUAGAUCCAACUUUGCUAUGUUGUGCAUUCAAAAAACACAGACUGUAUUUAUUUAGUCGGAGAGAGCCAGAAGAGACUGAAGAUGCCACUAAGGGACGAGAUGUGUUUAACGAAAAACCUCCUGCAGAUGAACUCUUGGCUGUGUCAGAAUUAGGAAAUUCAGCAACAACAUCCCUACCAGACAACGUGAUUCUAAACACAACAAUGGGAGACAUUCACAUGAAGCUCUAUCCAGAAGAAUGUCCAAAAACUGUGGAAAACUUUACCACGCAUUGUCGGAAUGGAUAUUAUGAUAAUCUGAUUUUCCAUCGUGUCAUUAAAGGUUUCAUGGUUCAGACAGGAGAUCCACUUGGAGAUGGAACUGGUGGGCAAUCAAUUUGGGGAAGGGAAUUUGAGGAUGAAUUUCACAAAAGUUUGCGGCAUGACAGGCCCUUCACUGUUUCUAUGGCAAAUGCUGGUCCUAAUUCUAAUGGUUCACAAUUUUUCAUAACCACGGUAGCUACUCCGUGGCUUGAUAACAAACAUACAGUUUUUGGUAGAGUUGUCAAGGGAAUGGACGUUGUACAGGCCAUAGAAAAAGUGAAGACUGACAGAGACGACAAGCCAUACCAAGAUGUCAAGAUUCUUAGCGUAACCGUACCCAAAUCCUAGGAGAGCUUAUGUAUUACAUAUUGGAUGAUGGCUGUUACUUGCUGCAAGUUGUCCACACCAGAAUAUGCUGCCUCAUCCGUGUUUUAAAAAUGUUGGUUGCAAUAUUUCCUGAAUGGCUUCCUGUUCGGCCAGUUGCCUUUGGACCAGGAUAAUGUUUUUUAUGGCAAGUCCUGUAUAAUAAGUCGGGUUAAGUUGAAGUAUUCAAAUUCUGAAAAUUGGUUGCUGCGAAAAUUGCUAUUCAGUAGCUGUUGGCAGCUGUGAGGUUGUUGAUGCUCCCAUUAUUGUCUGGGUGAGUUAUUGGGGGGUUUUGUUCUUUUGUGCCAAUCUGUUCAUGAACACAAUAAUGAAUGGAUUUGAUUAUUUAUGAGAAACAAUACCAGUGGCGCCAAUAGUGAAGUUUGAUUUCAUUUACAGAUCAUGAAUUCUUGUACCCCUUCCUGAUACAGGAUACUUUCUUGCUAUGCUAUCAUCAUCAAGAUAUCGUUGAGAGGAUCACUAUUUUUUUUUUUUCAUGUCUGUAUAUGUUAAUGAUCAGAUAUGGACCACCGCAACUUAUUUAGAUCAAAAUCUGAUCAAUGUCCUAAGUUGAAGGUUUUGUUUUUCUUGGCUAGAGAAUAUAAUUAAUCAGUACUUUUGGACAAUAAAAGAAAGUUUUUUUUUACAGGAAAUCGCACUUCUAAGCCUAAGGUGAUUAUCUAUGUUAUUUUUACAAAUUGACAUGCAAUGCAGUUGGCAUGCCAGGGUCUGAAAAGUAAAUGAUUUUCUUCUUCUUCUUCUUCUUCUUGAACGCCUUAAUCCCAUUAGUGGGGUCGGCUACAUGAACCAACAUAAGGACUUCCUACGAGGUCACCCAUCCUAGUACUAAUCUCAAUCAUUGUGGCUCAUGUCAAGCGAUGUGACAAAUUGUCAAUUUUAAUUAUUAAAUUUCAGGGUCUGAAAAGUAAAUGAUUUUCUAUGUGAUUAUAAUUACUGUAUAUUACUUCGUAUGAUUUAAUGUUUGUUAAGAUUUUUUCUGGA